rnacentral:rRNA from 1 species
CCUACGGGGUGCAGCAGUCGAGAAUCAUUCACAAUGGGGGAAACCCUGAUGGUGCGACGCCGCGUGGGGGAAUGAAGGUCUUCGGAUUUUCAACCCCUGUCAUGUGGGAGCAAAUUAAAAAGAUAGUACCACAAGAGGAAGAGACGGCUAACUCUGUGCCAGCAGCCGCGGUAAUACAGAGGUCUCAAGCGUUGUUCGGAAUCACUGGGCGUAAAGCGUGCGUAGGCUGUUUCGUAGGUCGUUGGUGAAAGGCGCGGGCUCAACCCGCGGACGGCACAUGAUACUGCGAGACUAGAGUAAGGGAGGGGGAACCGGAAUUCUCGGUGUAGCAGUGAAAUGCGUAGAUAUCGAGAGGAACACUCGUGGCGAAGGCGGGUUCCUGGACAUUAACUGACGCUGAGGCACGAAGGCCAGGGGAGCGAAAGGGAUUAGAUACCCCAGUAGUC